rnacentral:rRNA from 1 species
ACUCCUACGGGAGGCAGCAGUAGGGAAUAUUGGACAAUGGGCGAAAGCCUGAUCCAGCAAUGCCGCGUGAGUGAUGAAGGUUUAUGGAUCGUAAAGCUCUGUCGUAUAGGAAUAAAUGCCUGUGGUUAAUACCCGCAGGAGCUUGAAGGUACUAUACAAGAAGCACCGGCUAACUCCGUGCCAGCAGCCGCGGUAAUACGGAGGGUGCGAGCGUUAAUCGGAAUUACUGGGCGUAAAGCGCAUGCAGGCGGCCUGUUAAGUCAGAUGUGAAAGCCCGGGGCUUAACCUCGGAAUUGCAUUUGAAACUGGUAGGCUAGAGUCUUGUAGAGGGGGGUGAGAA